rnacentral:lncRNA from 1 species
GGCCAUUCCAGUUAAUACCUGUUAAAGGGGGUUGGAUGGUCCUUUCUGAGGGGUGUAAAAUUCAUACAUCUUAGGGGUGAAAAUUUGGGUUUUCUCAUCUGACAUGUUCACUUAUACGCAAAAAAUUUCUGAGGGUCAUGCAGCAGUAAAUAAUUUAAAAUAAGUACAUCUGAGGGGUUUCAAAAAUGCCUACGUUAGAUCUUAGGGGUGCUUCUGAAAGUAGACAGUUACGUAUCAUGCAUUAUCUGGUAUUGUAUUUAAAAUUCUGAUGGGUACAAUCCUCUUUAAAAAAUUCUGAUAGGUCAUUUUUUCCCAUGAAAACCCAUCCACCCAAUAUGAACAGAAACCCUACAUCUGAUAGGUCUUAAUUUUUA